GGAGACCUAAGGACUUGCCUUCAACCAAGACCCGACCCAGCGGGUCCACACUUGAAGGAGAAGAAAUCGGGCCGAUCGCACAGCUUAGUACAUUCGUCAUGAUAGCAAGCCCAGCAACAGUCAUGGGCUCAACUAAGGAGAGACCCAAUUGGGCCGUAGAGCACUAAGGCCCAAAGGCCGCGCGCACGUGGGCGGGCUUCCCUAGCCCGCACGGGUGAGGUGGCAAGCUUUUUGGACUUCUUUUCACCACAUGCUCCAUGUGAUCUUUAAUCCCAAAUUCAGCAAAUUUACAUGGUAACUAUCCUUUAUUAU
rnacentral:lncRNA from 1 species